AUCUCACCAGCCCCGACAGCCCAACUUCUAUUCAUUCUUGUGACUGGCCAUCCUGGCAACGCCCUGUUUUCUCCUCAACACCAACAUCUGCUGAUACUACUCCUUAUGCCUUACUCUUGGGCUGGUUUUCAAGACCUCCCUAGCCUGCCUUUCCCCUUCCACACCCUAGCUGCACAGGUCCCGUGGCUUUGCAAGCUUGAGACCCACACUCCUUAGGUGGUUUGUUCAGUUAGUGUGGGUUUGUUUCCCAGAAGCCAAGAGGAAACAAUAAUACUAGAUGGGAUAGGGUUUUAGUUUUGGGCAGGAGACAGAGUUUAUUGACUAACUCUCUUCUGAUGAGCAGUAGGGUGGGGUAGGAGUAAAUGUAUCUGCCCUGUGGAACCUUGGUGGCUGGGGUGGUGGUGUUGAUCUUAAAAGACAAUGUAAACUUGGCAAGAGAAUCAUGUUUGGGAUGGGAUGAGGUGCUGGUGGAGGAGCAAGGGUCUGGUAGAGGUUUUCCCUCAGUCCUGUAAGAGAUUGGGGGCGGGGAUAGCACUAGACUCCUGGGGGUGAGGGUGCAGAGCUCUGGCUUUUAUUUCGAUCUGAUCUGUAUCCCUGCUUGGUGAGAGGAUGGAUGGGGAGGCUGUUGCUUUGGGGAAUAGAAAUGAUCUGAGGUGUCCAUUACAAAGUGACCCGGAGGCAAACAGUUCAGAGUCUCUUAUUGAUUUUUUGGGGUCAAGUGUCACGCCUCCCGGGUGAAUUAAAUGUUUAUUCUAAUGAAGGAGUAAACUCCACAGUUCCCCACCUUUCUACCUGGGAACUGAUAAGCAUCUCUUCAUAGACUUAGAGGCAGGUGGAGACUCCCUUUGAAGAGUGGUACCUGUCACUUACUGUCACUCACUCGUGUGCUUUCCUUAGGUGAAUCUGGCUCUGUGACGUUCACGCUUUAAUUCUUACACAUUUAUUUACCAUUAUAUCCCAGGUCAUAGGAGAGGCGUCUAUGGAGUCCGAGGGCGGGCAGAAGACUCUCAGCUGAGGUUGUGUUCUUGCUUCUGGCUGGCUAGGAAUGGAAUGUCCUUUGACAAAUUCAGAGGAAUCCAUGUCCAGUUACAACUUACAGUUUCCUCAUUAUCUGGGUCCACCUCAGCAUCCAGGUCUUCUCCCACCUGCUUGCCUUCGGAUCCUCAAAUGUCAGGGCAUUCUAUGGACAGGUGGGGCGGCUUCUGCUCGGAUGUGGAGACUUGUAUGGAGAUCUCCCAGGAAUGGGUUUAUUUUGUUUUUGUGACACUUGACUCCUUUUGGGGCCAUACAACUCUGAUUU
rnacentral:lncRNA from 1 species